rnacentral:misc_RNA from 1 species
ACUCUUCAACCCGCCCUUUUCCUUGUUGAUUAGGUGUCGGUGCUUGGAUUCUGAGCCUUUUGCUAUUCACUUAGCUGGCUCGUAAGACAUUAGCAUUUCAAAUUUCAUAAUCGGAUUGACUUGGCGUAAUAGACUAUUCGCUGAGGACACGACCUUCAUUGGAAGUGGCCGAGAUAAGAAAGCACGAAGAGCUACCAACCCUCCUAGUCAUUAAAAAACUAUUUUUAAG